GUGCUCGCUUCGGCAGCACAUAUACUAAAAUUGGAACGAUAGAGAGAAGAUUAGCAUGCCCCUGCGCAAGGAUGACAUUUGUGUUUGUAUCUUGGUAGUAUAA